AUGGCUAUAAUGAUAGGCGAUCCACUCCACCACCUGCUGACGGUGGUUCCGGCGGUGAUAGAUAUAGCAGCUCAUCCGCAGGUGGUAGUGGUGAAUACGAUGGUUGAAGAGGCGGAGGGAUUUGUUGAUUGAAGCGGGAUAUUGAUUGGAAAAUAUUAUAGAGCAAAAACGGAUUUUGAGGGUUCCCAUAAUCAAUCAACGGCUGAUACGCGCGAGUCGUCGUCACAAUAUAGAAGAACUGACUUAUCCUGUAGCUUUAAUCAGAACCACGACAGUGGUAGAGGAAGUGGUGGUGACCUCACCAACAACCCAGCAUCAGCAUAGUAGGACUACCAAUGCAAAGAAGGGAAGCAGUCCAUUCGAAGAAUUAAUUAAGAAGCUCUGUUGGUCUCUUUGGGCACAGCAACAUGAGACUUUUAUUUGGCAGAAGACGGCUGAUUCUGAGUAUUAUACAUCCAGGUCCAGCUACACUUUGACUCUUGCACAACUUUAUCUAGUUUUAUUGAUAGUGGUCAUAUUCAGUUGUAAAGACUUACCAGCUACAGGUACCAAAGAGAAUACAGAAUCCCUAAACAAAAUAAAUUGGCAAUGGGUCAGAGAAUAAUAUACAAGCAACGAUCUGAGUUUUUUCAUUAGUCAUUUUAAAUUUAGCAUCAUAAAUUAGAGGUCUCAUUUGAUAUGAGCCUCCAUCUUUUGACCCUAUGUAAUAAACAUUUUUAGACAUAAUGUUAAUGAAAACUCUCAUCAGUAUGUGCCUAUUGCAAAAUAGGCCAAACAUGCAAUCCCCUUUAAA